rnacentral:rRNA from 1 species
GAUGAACGCUGGCGGCGUGCCUAAUACAUGCAAGUCGAGCGAACAGACGAGGAGCUUGCUCCUCUGACUUUAGCGGCGGACGGGUGAGUAACACGUGGAUAACCUACCUAUAAGACUGGGAUAACUUCGGGAAACCGGAGCUAAUACCGGAUAAUAUAUUGAACCGCAUGGUUCAAUAGUGAAAGACGGUUUUGCUGUCACUUAUAGAUGGAUCCGCGCCGCAUUAGCGAGUUGGUAAGGUAACGGCUUACCAAGGCAACGAUGCGUAGCCGGCCUGAGGGGGGGAUCAGCGAACAGGGAAGUAGGACAGGGGCGAAGGACCUGCGGGCGGGAGCGGUGGGGGAUGUUGGGGGAUGGGGGGGAGCCUGAUCCAGCCGUACCGCGUGGGUGAAGAAAGACUGCGGGUGGUAAAGCCCUUUUGUGGGGAAAGAAAAGCAGUCGGUUAAUAACCCGCUGUUUUGACGGUACCCAAAGAAUAAGCACCGGCUAACUUCGUG